CUCUGUGUUUGGCCACAGCUGCUCUGUGCUGUUGGAGCUGCAGUGAGAAUUCAGCUCAGCGGCACAUUAGGCGCUUGGCCAGCAGUUUGUGCUGUUACUGUUUUGGUGCCAGCAUUGCUUUGAGUGUCACGGUACCAUUCUACGGCGGUUCCAUACGUCAUAAACACACUUGAUCCUUCAUCUGUGUAAUUCCUAAUUGCAGUUUUACAGGUAAGAUCAAAGCACAGAAGCAUGCAGGCGCUUACAUUGUCCCAAAAUCAGUGAUCAAGUAAUCAGUGCUCAAGUGCUCAUCUCAUGAGACUUGCUCGCGUGGGGCCAUGACUUCAACUCACCAACUAUGUGGAAGAAAACCCCAAAUCUCACGUCCUCGGCCCCUUUGGAGUGGGCCACUUACAUCGUGCCCGCUCAGAGCCUUCCCUUAGCUCUGACAGCGUUUGGCUGCACUAACAGCAACUUCAGCAGUCUGCUGGGCAGUAAUCCCACCUUUCUACAUCGCUGACUGUUCCAAUGUGUGUAAUCAGAGUAAUCCCAAAGAAUGCGUGACAGACACGUACACUGUAGGGGUUUUAUUUAUUUAAGAAUACAUUCAGUGGUGUUACGUUAUCUUCAUUGUCCGAAGCUUUUGCCCCAGGCAGUUGCUUGAUUUGCUACAUUUUUUACAGCUUUCUCACCGGUUUCAGCGACCUUGUAGACCUCAUCGAGAGCUUUUAAAAAAGAAAAACAAAGGUAACUGCAGCAUCACUGCACUAUGUUCCCCUUCCCCACCAGCUGUGGGUGGGAGGGGAGGUGGAGAGGGGAAUGCGCCAAAGGGGUCUGGUUGUGGCACCGUCCUGCGUGGGCAGGGAAAGAGUGACCUCAUUGCUGUUGACUGGGCAGCCCUGGCACUGCAGCACAGCCCAGCCUGGAGUGGGCUGAGGCCCCUGUGGACUCAGAGCCCCCGGAUCAGAGCAGAAGUGCUGUGCUCUGGAAUGGGAAGCGCUAAGAAAGCUGGGCUCUGCCCUCCCACUGCAGUCACUGAGGGCAGCAACAUGGCUGGGAGGAUCUCACAAGGAGGUGGGUGCUGGGACAGGGGCAAGGGACCCAUCUGGGAUUUCACUGGAAUGACGGUGAAAGCAGCAGAAACAUGACCAUACCUUUCUGACCAGCAUCCUUGGCCUGCUCCACUGCUUGCUGCACAGUCUGCCCCACCGUGUUAACUGCGGAGUAAAACAACAUCAAUUAAGCAGUCUUUAUCUGUCCCUCUAAACUCAGUAUUCACACCUCUGUAGAUGAUUCUAAGAAGAAAAAUCAGUCAAAUACAAUUUUGGGUGAGUGACCUGCAGCUGAACCUGGUUGUCUCAUUCGCCCCGGCUCCAUGUUGCACCACUUUUACCCACUGCCCUGCCCAGCCCCACAGGCUGCAUGAACAGCCGGGCUGCUCGUGGGGGAGGGCAUGAGCACACCAUGAGGACAGAUGCGUGGGGGAAAGGACAGCAUUUCAGUGGGCUGGGAUUGCCCAGAACUUCAGAACUUCUCCAGGCCUGGGCUGAGUUGCCCUCCAGCAAGCAGCAGCUGAGGCAGUAAGGCUGUCUGAAACCAGUGGCCUACUUCACCCUGGGCUUGUAAGAUAUUUGUACUGCAUAAAGCUACACUAAUUAUCAUCAUGCAUCCCCUUCUGGCACAGGUCAUCAGCUGGCGGAUGAGGUGGGCUGAGGAAGAUGCUUCCUGCAAAGAUCCCAGGUUACAUCCCAAUUUACAGCUCCCUUAGGAGCUAUUGGGCGGGUGCUAAUUUUAGAUGCUAGCAAAGAUCAGUUGUGCCACUCCAAACAUAGAAAGGCUCAUGGGACUAAGCCUCCGGGGCAUGUGCAGGCACAGCCGAAGUACUUUGGAGAUGACGUGGUUAAUAGUUGCAGAACCAUCAGUUGGACAGUCUUGUUCCAGUUUAAGAACUGGCAUAAAAACCCUCUUUGUUUUCAUUUAAAGAGGGAUUUGGAGAAUACCCCUGCUGAUAGUGCUUCCAGAUCUGGGUGCAUUGCGGGUGGUGAUGUGAGUUGAGCAACUACUGUCACUCACCAAGGCAGGCACAAGAGUACAACAGCAGCCAGAGCAGGACUGCCUGGGAGGAUGUGUGUGGGGUUCAGGCCAAGGGCUGCCGAGGGUGUCUGAAGGGCUGCGAGCAUUUGGGGCAGAAGGGGAAGGACUGCUGCAGUCUAAAAGCUCUGCUCUCAGAGUUGGUUGGCUCUCAAACACUUAGUUCCAUCAUCUGAACACUGAGAUAACUUCUCAGCCUGUUCAAGAAAGACAAAUGCCAUGCCUAAAACCCCCACAUCGGUCUUCUAGCACAGGAAGAAGUUGAUAAUUGUCCUCUAAUGUAAAGAAAUAGAGCAGGAACAUGAAAAUCUCCACGGAAUAUGCAUGUCUAGGGCUGCUGUAAAGCAAAAGAAAGAGGAACUUUUCAUCUGAAAACAUGAGUGCUUGCCCAAGUCGCCAUGGAAGUUUUCCUUCCAUGCUUCAGCAUGAAGAUGGUCUGAGAAUCACCACAAAUUCUUUGGAAAAGGGACCACUAGUUGUGGUGAGGGGUCUUUCCUGUUCCUAGCAAGCUGGCCCAGGGACAAGUAGUAAAUAAGCAGCAGGCUUCAUUGAGCACUGCCUAGAGGACUGGCACAUUAGGAGAUGGUAUUAAAAAAGAAAUCCUUAAAGUAGCAUUUCUACUGCAGUUGAGGUCGCCCGCAGUGCCCAGUUUCACUCUACACGGCAUUAGGUGAACUCAGCUACUCCCAUUGCAUGAAGCACAGACGUCUGAGGAAUUGCACCACGGCAGCCUUUGUACGAGGGCUUCACGGACAGUGGCUCACCUAAAUGGCACAUUGCUUCAUCCUGGGCAGGGGCUGGAAGCGUCACAGCAUGAGCUGCAGGCGCCCCGAGCCCAGUGACUGCACCAGGGCUUGCGGUGGGAUGAGCAGCUACAGCAUCAGCUGGGUGCAUCAAAGACCUUCAAGAAGCGAAUCCAUCCCGGUGUUGCAGAGCUCAUAUUUGUCACAGCUGCUCGUGCUUUGAAAAAGUUGCAAAAAAGUAACGCAAAACCUGAACGGCCUCACUUUCCCUCUCAGCUUUCUGCCGUCCUCAUCCCUUCAGCACAUUAUCCAUCUGGCACCCACUUGGGGAAGGGGUGCGAGCAGCACCGGGGAGCCAGCAUUUAAUUCAGGUCCCUCACUCGCUCUCGCACCAGUGGGGUUUGGAGAGCAGCAGCCACGCCAACCACACCCUCAAGAAGAGCAUCUGCAAAGCUGCGUUCAUGCAUGAGGCAUCCACUCACGCAGCAGGGCCAGAAGCCCGCAGCAGUGCAGCAGGGCACGCACCUCCCUGCGCAGUCGGAGGCACAGGGAAAGCAGCCCGUGAUAUUUACCUGCCGCCUGCGCAGCGCUCUCGGCCUGUUGCGUUGCUUCCUCGGCGAGCUUCUUCCCAAUCCCAAACAUGGCUGCUGCUGCUCUGCUCUCCCCACAGAGGAUGGGUGAUGGAGUCUCUAAGUUUGGUUCUGUUACGGUGUUCAGCAAAGUGCAGCUUUAUAUAGACAAAGCAGAACUCCUCCCCGUAGUUAGAGGGCAAACGCAGGCUGAGCGGGACGCGGCGAGCCCUGCUCGGUGAUUAAUACGCCAGGCAUAAAAGGGCGAAGAGGCAUUAGUGUUUGUUGUGCUUUCCUCCCCAGAGAGGGGGUGGGGAUUCAUCGGCAGAAGUUUUCCAUGGCCCAGGAAUCAAAGCUUUGUUUUCCAUGGCAAGAAGUUGGUAAACAGAGCGCAUUCCACAGCUGUCCUUACAAAACCUUCCCAGGAGGCUGCCGGGGCCAAAAAACACCCCAGUCCUCAGCUGAAGAAUUGCCUAAACCAGCUCUGGUAUUUCAAAGCCUUACAUAGAAAAGUAUCCAGUUUCAGAGGAUUCUUGCUCACUUUUUUCCCCCUCCGGGCAGGCUUAAACUCAUCGUUAUAAAACAAAUGGGAGGAGCUAACCCUGCUUUUUUUUUUU
ensembl:lncRNA